rnacentral:tRNA from 1 species
GCCUGGCUGGCUCAGUUGGUGGAGUGUGCGACUCUUGGUCUCGGGAUUGUGGGUUCAAGCCCCAUGUCAGGUG